rnacentral:rRNA from 1 species
UACGGAGGAUCCGAGCGUUAUCCGGGUUUAUUGGGUUUAAGGGGUGCGUAGGCGGUUUGAUAAGUUAGAGGUGAAAUGUCGGGGCUCAACCCCGAAACUGCCUCUAAUACUGUUGGACUAGAGAAUAGUUGCGGUAGGCGGAAUGUAUGGUGUAGCGGUGAAAUGCUUAGAGAUCAUACAGAACACCGAUUGCGAAGGCAGCUUACCAAACUAUAUCUGACGUUGAGGCACGAAAGCGUGGGUAGCAAACAGG